GUGGUAGCCUUAUCAAAGUUACAGCAAUGAGCAGUUUAAUGUGACUUCAAGUCUACCACGUAUAACAAUUGGUUCCUGCCGACAGGGCCUGUCCAGACAUUGGGCCUCCUGUGCGAUGGAUCCAGACACU
rnacentral:snoRNA from 1 species